rnacentral:tRNA from 2 species
GUGGGUAUAGUUCAGCCUGGUUAGAAUGCCAGAUUGUGGCUCUGGAGGUCGUGGGUUCGAGUCCCACUACCCACCCCA